AAGAAAAGGAAAAGGAGAAAAAAAAAAGGAAAAUGAAGAUGAAAAGGACGAAAAAAAAUUGGUUUGAAGAUUAGUAUUACGUACCUGGAGAAUUGGAGAUUGCUGAAGAAGUCUUCAAGAAACUAGGGCCGGCUACAACGAAUUCUUAUGUCUUCUACUCUUCUCUUUUUUUUUCUAUUGUUAAGGAUUUUGUGGACCACAUAAUAAAACAAGAUAAAAUAUAUAGUAGAACUUUCUAGCACAUAACAGUAAAAAAAAGAAAACAUCAUAUGUAACGGUUAAAAAAAAAGAAAAAAAAAAAAAAGAGAAAAGCAACCUUUUUAAAAAGGCGCAAUUAAGCACGCUUCUGCGCCUAGUGCGCCUCACGCGCUUCAUUCAGCCUAAUUGCGCUUCAUUAAAAUUGCUUCGCCUGGCAACAAUUAAGCUCUAACCCCUAAACGCCUAGAGCCUUAGAUGCGCUUUUUCAAACACUGGAGGUUCCUUUUCCUAAUAUGUUUGGUGCUCCAUAUCUUCAACAACAAGUGUAUCAGCAGUAGGCCAAUAUACAGUUACAAGUAAUGGGAGUCAGCAUUUAGUGGUGGAAGGAUUUUAGCAGGUGGAAUUCACAUGGACGAGCACACUGAUGCAGUUAGGUACUUCACCAACAACGCAUACCAUGGCCAACAACAUUUCUUUCCCCCUUAAGGCUAUUUAUUCAACAACGAGUUUCCCACCAACAUGUCCAUACAUCAUUUGCAAUAGGAUUCAAAUAAUUCAAUAAUUAACAGAUGUGUACAAUAAACUCAGUAGAUGUACUCAAUUUAAUUGGUUAGAUACAUUAAUAAUUAAUUUGUCGUAAUGGUAUCAUUGUGUUAUGACAUAUACCAAUGAAUCAUAAUGGCAUCUUAUUUUGAUACCAAUACAUGUGGAAAUGGUAUCCUAUUCUUGUACCAUUAAGAGGCAGAUUGGUACCAUUUGUGGAAUUGAUAUUAAUCAUAAUGGUACCAUUUAGGCUAAAAAUGGUAUAAAUGAAACUGUAGUUUAUGAAUAAUGUGGCAUGCCUUUACUGUCACGGACUCAUUGCAAUCCAAAAAAAAUUGUACUUUAUGGAUAAUGUAAUCCAAAAAUAUUCUUUUCACAUAUCCACCUAAAGUGAUGUUAUAAAUAUGC